GUGGGGCUGCAGCUCAGUGGUAGAGCAACUGUUUUACAUGCAGAAGGACUUAGGUUCGAUCACCAGCAUCUACA
rnacentral:tRNA from 1 species